rnacentral:rRNA from 1 species
UAAAUCAGUUAUGGUUCACUAGAUCGUACAGUUUACACGGAUAACUGUGGUAAUUCUAGAGCUAAUACGUGCAACCAGCUUACUCCCUUGUGGAGUAAGCGCAGUUAUUAGAACAAAACCAAUCCGGCCUUCGGGUCGGUAAAAUUGGUGACUCUGAAUAACCGAAGCGGAGCGCAUGGUCUCGUACCGGCGCCAGAUCUUUCAAGUGUCUGACUUAUCAGCUUGUUGUUAGGUUAUGUUCCUAACAAGGCUUCAACGGGUAACGGGGUAUCAGGGUCCGAUACCGGAGAGGGAGCCUGAGAAACGGCUACCACAUCCAAGGAAGGCAGCAGGCGCGCAAAUUACCCACUCCCGGCACGGGGAGGUAGUGACGAAAAAUAACGAUGCGAGAGCUCUAAGCUCCUCGUAAUCGGAAUGGGUACACUUUAAAUCCUUUAACGAGGAUCUAUUGGAGGGCAAGUCUGGUGCCAGCAGCCGCGGUAAUUCCAGCUCCAAUAGCGUAUAUUAAAGUUGCUGCGGUUAAAAAGCUCGUAGUUGGAUCUGGGUAGCUGGAUAGAUGGUAUGCUUAACUGUGUUACUGUCUGUUCGGCGCCACAAGCCGGUAUGUCUUGCAUGCUCUUCACUGGGUGUGCUUGGCGACCGGAACGUUUACUUUGAAAAAAUUAGAGUGCUCAAAGCAGGCGUACGGCCUUGCAUAAUGGUGCAUGGAAUAAUGGAAUAGGACCUCGGUUCUAUUUUGUUGGUUUUCGGAACUCGAGGUAAUGAUUAAUAGGAACAGACGGGGGCAUUCGUAUUGCGGCGUUAGAGGUGAAAUUCU